CCAAAUAUUGUGAGAAUAAUGCUAAUAAGUUUCUAAAUUCUUUGACAGACUUAAAGCAAAUAACUCCUGAUGACCGAGAUUUUUGCGAUCGUCCUAUUACAUUAAAAUAAAUACUUGAUUCUGUUGGGAUCUGGAGGUUUGUCCACUUUCUCCACCAGAGGGCGCACUAGAUCUCCUGGAGCAUGAGCUGUCUACAACACCUGUCCUCUAUCUGCUCAUCAGGAGGCUCCCUACUUAAGGAGGCGGAGACCUACACUCCAGUGCCAGUGUGUUUGCCAGUAAUGAUCGAUCCUGCCUGACAAACUGAAAUCCUGGAGAGUUUUCUCUGCUGGUUACCUGCCUACCCGCUCUCAGUUGAACUCUGGAGGGCUGCAUCUGUCUGUAAUCUGCCUGCCCGCCCUCAGAGAUAACUUGGAGAGAAAAGACUCAGUCAGAGAUCAGCCUGCCUCCACUCACUAAGCUCUGCCUCCGCCCACAGCCCUCUGCCUCCCGACAGCCUCUGGACCCUCAAGGUUCCCCCCCUCUGCAGCUUCACUCCAUUCCAGAACAGCGGUGAACCCACUCCUGACCAGUCAACCACCCCCUUGGACCAGUUUAUUUAUUGUACAUUUCUGUAAUUAAACCUUUGAACUUUUUCUCUGCCUCCGAGUGUUUCUGCAUGUGGGUUAGACAUCUUAAUCCCAACAUGACAGAUUCAAUUAAGUGCCUGAAAAAUAAUAAAUCACC